rnacentral:rRNA from 1 species
GAUGAACGCUGGCGGCGUGCCUCAAACAUGCAAGUCGAGCGGGGCUAUGUAAUAUCGCAAGGUAGAACAUAGCCUAGCGGCGAACGGGUGAGUAACACGUGGGUAACCUGCCUGGAAGACAGGGAUAACGAUUCGAAAGGGUCGCUAAUACCUGAUAAUAUCCUUUCAUCGCAUGGUGAUAGGAAGAAAGGGGAAACCCGCUUUCAGAUGGGCCCGCGUCCCAUCAGCUAGUUGGUAAGGUAAAGGCUUACCAAGGCGACGACGGGUAGCCGGUCUGAGAGGAUGUACGGCCACACUGGGACUGAGAUACGGCCCAGACUCCUACGGGAGGCAGCAGUUGGGAAUCUUAGGCAAUGGACGAAAGUCUGACCUAGCGACGCCGCGUGAGGGGAAAAGGCCUUCGGGUUGUAAACCUCUGUCAUGGGGGAAGAAGUAAGUGACGGUACCCAAGAGGAAGCCCCUGCUAACUACGUG